rnacentral:lncRNA from 1 species
CUCAAUUUCAGCAUGUAGAAUUGGUCAAUACCAAUUAAAUCGGUCAGAAAUUGAAACAAUAUUCUCUCUUAAUAUAAUAUCUCGAUAUCAUCUCCUGCCUCUAUAAUCCUCAUUCUAUCCUUCUUCAUUCUCACUUCCAGACUCUAUUUUAUCUCUUUAAAAGCCACCCUCCCCUCUUACAAUUUCUAAUUUUCUAUCACCACGCUAUCUCUAAAAAAUAACCCUGACGUGCACGAUCAUAAUCGAUUUUGGUCGAUGAAGCAUAUGGUGACGAGUAGCAUCUCCUCUCCAAACUCGGUCACAAGUGCACACGAGAAACCAACCCUGAUGUGCCUGAAAAAGGAGCAUGUUCAGGUAAUGUUUUCGUCUUUAUUGCAUCUUUUUGUGCUUUGCUUUCCUCCGUAUUUCCCUUGCACUUCUUGAAAACCUAGAACCACCAUCGCCUAAUGCCACCGUCACCAACUAACCACCAUCUCAGAAGCCCCUCCCACAUCGCCUUUAAUCAACUUCAUAGAAAAAUCCCAUCACAUUCACUGCUUUUUUCUCUAAACGCUAGACAUCGUUGCCACUCCUCUUCUCUGUGAUUCCCCUAUCUCUUUCUCUCAAUCAAACAAUCUCAUCUGGUUUCAUUAUAAAGACUAUUUCAUAUUUUUGGGGUAUGUGUUGUCAAAAACAUCAACGUAUAUGUGCUAUUACAAACUUCAACGAGGUGGGAACCUAUUUUAAAACCAUCACAUCACAAACUCACCUGUAGAAACCCUAUACUUUACCACCAUCGCACCUCCUAAAAGCCUAGCCGCCGACCACCUAACGCAUCGCCUCUACAUCUCUCUAUUUGGCUUCCGAUCAGAGACACAUCACUGCCUCAUCACCAAGGUCUCUCUCUCUCUCUCUCUCUCUCUCUCUCUCUCUCUCUCUCUCUCUUAUCAUUUAUUUGUUUAGUAAGGCUUCAAGUUUUGUCAAUUUUAGUUUUUUUUUUAUUUGUGGGUAUUUUCUCAAAGAAAACCUGCAAAACGAAAGAAAUUGAAAAGAAUUGAACAAGUGUCCUGCAACAUUUGUUUGAUAACCGCAUGAUGGUUAGUUUUGUACUUUAAACAAGACUUCAUUACUGAUUUUAGUUUCUUUUGGAUCAUGGAUCUCUCUCGUCAUAUAAGUUUGUUGCUAUAUUGGAUAAAAAAACAAAGUAUUUUUUUCCCAAAUUGGCAGCAAAAAGAAAGUGUGUUGCUGCUUGGCACAUUUCACCUAAAAAAUAGGUUGACUGGUGUUGAUGUCGUCCAAAGUAAUAGCAAUAUCUACUCGGAUAAAAUGUUGUCAUAAAUAGUGAAAAAGACAACAUGUUGCUGAUUUGCUGUGAAGAAAGGAUGUGGAGUAAGAGGACCGACAUUUACAUCUGAGGUUUGUAUCCUUUAACAAUUUAUGCAUUUAAAUUCUAAAAAAUUAAAAAGGGAUAAAUAUGACUUUUUUUUCUUUAAUACUUGGAUUUGUACUUCAAAUUUACUUGUGUUUUUUUUUUAAUUAUAGAAUUCUAAUUUUGUUUUUUUAUCAUGCAUUUUAUUUUAUUUUUCUUUACCAGUGGGUAGAAUCAGCCAAACCAUGGUUUGUUGGGUGCUUCUUCUCAAAUUUUUCUUCACAAGAGUGUAAGAUAGGCAAAAUAAUAUGUUUUGGCAUAAAUAAAUUUGCAAAUGCAGGUUUGAAAUCUGGUUUGAAGGUUCAAAAUAUGUUAUGGAGGUUUGGAAUCUAUAAAAACUUUGUUUAAUAUGUAUGUCUUUCUACAGAAUACAUAGUAAUCUAAUUUAUGUGGUGUUUGUGAGUUCAAAAAACUCAUAUUGUAUUUUUCCUUAAUCCCCCUUUGGUUUAGUACAGCUGAAUCAGGACCUUUAAUGGAAUUUAGGUGGAACAAUAAGUAACUUACUACUCAAAUGGUGCAAAGUUAGAAACACAUGAUGACUCUUUUGAGUUCAAGUAAUAUUCACAUGAUUUUUUUCUUAUCUUUCACCAAAAAGUUGAAAGAAAACUAAAGUUUGAGAAGAAUAUACAUAGAGCAUGGGAAGGUAGCCUAUUCCAGAUGUUAUGUUGCUUAGAAUAUUUUGGAUAAGUCCAUUGUUGCAAUCCUUAGUUCUAUGAUUCAUUCAAACAAAGAUGGGCCUGAUGGUUAGGGUUAAAAACCAACAAGGAUUGGUGCAAAUCAUUAUCCUUUUCAGCCGGAGACAAGAUGAUUGAGUACUUCAUAAUUUUAAACCCAAUUGUUAUAGAUUAUGCUACUCUUUCUAGGCUUUGUUACGCUUUUACAAGAUGAAAAGCAUUGAUGUAAUAGUGAUAAGUUGCA